GUAAAUCUGUUGAAGGUUUUCUACGUAGGUUCGAAUCCUGCCUCUCCCAUAUACUCCGUAUUUGAAGAAUAGAGACGAAGCAC
rnacentral:tRNA from 1 species